AGCGAACGCUGGCGGCAGGCCUAACACAUGCAAGUCGAACGGACCCUUCGGGGUUAGUGGCGGACGGGUGAGUAACACGUGGGAACGUGCCUUUAGGUUCGGAAUAGCUCCUGGAAACGGGUGGUAAUGCCGAAUGUGCCCUUAGGGGGAAAGAUUUAUCGCCUUUAGAGCGGCCCGCGUCUGAUUAGCUAGUUGGUGAGGUAAUGGCUCACCAAGGCUACGAUCAGUAGCUGGUCUGAGAGGAUGGCCAGCCACAUUGGGACUGAGACACGGACCAAACUCCUACGGGAGGCAGCAGUGGGGAAUCUUGCGCAAUGGGCGAAAGCCUGACGCAGCCAUGCCGCGUGAAUGAUGAAGGUCUUAGGAUUGUAAAAUUCUUUCACCGGGGACGAUAAUGACGGUACCCGGAGAAGAAGCCCCGGCUAACUUCGUGCCAGCCGCCGCCGUAACAC
rnacentral:rRNA from 1 species